UUUGCUGGGGGUGCCUUUGGCUGAGAGAUGUUUUUCAUCAACCCUUAUUACUUGAUCCGGUUAAUGCCGGCGUAAGAAAGCACAUUGA
rnacentral:ncRNA from 1 species